rnacentral:rRNA from 1 species
GACAGAGGUCCCGAGCGUUAGGCGGAAUCACUGGGCUUAAAGCGUGUGUAGGCGGAUGCCUAAGUACCUUGUGAAAUCCCACGGCUCAACCGUGGAACUGCUUGGUAUACUGGGCGUCUUGAGCCACUUAGGGGCAACCGGAACAAAUGGUGGAGCGGUGAAAUGCGUAGAUAUCGUAAGGAAGACCAGUGGCGAAGGCGGGUCUCUGGACAGUUCCUGACGCUGAGGCACGAAGGUCAGGGGAGCAAACGGG